rnacentral:rRNA from 1 species
UAAUUUUUUUUAAUAUAAUUUAUAUUUUAAUUAAAAAAUUUUAUUUUUUUUUAGUUUAAUAAUAAUUAAUUAUAAAUUUUUAUUACUGAUUAGGAUAAUUUUUAUUAUUAUAGAAUAAUUUUUAGUACCUUUUGUCUCAGGGUUAAUUUAUUAAUAUGUUUAUACUUUUUUCCCGAAUUGAAAAAAUUUAAAUUUAAUUUGGUUUAUUUGUUAUAAAACAUUUCUUAAUUUAUUUUUAGUAAUUAAAAGUUAUUCGUUUUUCAAAUAUAUCUGGUUUUUUGAGAAAAAAUUUAAUUUUAGAUUUAUUAAAAUUUAAUUCUUUCUUUUUUGGGGAUAAGCUCAAAUUAUAAAUAUAAUUAAUAUUAUUUUAUUUUUAAAAGUUUUAAAAUCUUUCAUUAAGUUCUUAAUAGAUUAUAAUAAUUAUUUUAAAUUUAAUUAAAUUUAUUUUUUUAUCAAAAUUUUUUAAAAAAUUUAUUUUUAUUAAAAAUAAUGAUUAAAUUAGUAUAAUUUAGAAUUAAUUAUUUAUGAAUUCAACAAAUUUUAUUUUCAACUGUUUAUCAAAAACAUUUCUUUUAGAUUAAAAUUAAAAGUAUUUUCUGCCCAAUGAUUAUAUUAAAUGGCUGCAGUAAUUUGACUGUACAAAGGUAGCAUAAUAAUUAGUCUUUUAAAUGUGGACUGGAAUGAAAGGAUAUAUGAAAUAUAUGUUUUAUUAUUUUUAUUAUUAAAAUUUUAUUUUUAAGUAAAAAAGCUUAAUUUUAUUUUUGGGACGAAAAGACCCUAUAGAAUUUAAAUAUUUUUAAAUUAUUAUAUUUUUUUGAAAAUAAUUUUUUAUAAUUUAAAUAUUUUUUUGUUGGGGGGAUAAAUAAAUUUAAACUUUAUUUUUUUAUUUCAAUAAUUAUUGAUAUUGUUGAUCCAUAUUUAGUGAUUUAAAGAAAAAAUUACCUUAGGGAUAACAGCGUAAUUAUAAUGGGGAGAUCAUAUUUAUAUUGUAGUUUGCGACCUCGAUGUUGAAUUAAGAAAAGUUAUAGGGGUAGUUUCUUUUAAUACUAAGUCUGUUCGACUUUUAAAUUCUUACAUGAUUUGAGUUCAGAUCGGUGUGAGCCAGAUCGGUUUCUAUCUAAAAAUAUAAAUUUUUAUUUUAGUACGAAAGGACCAAAUAAUACUAUAUAUUAUAGUAAAUUAUUUAAUUAG